UACAGAGGUCUCGAGCGUUGUUCGGAUUUAUUGGGCGUAAAGGGUGCGUAGGCGGUGUGGCAAGUCAAGUGUGAAAUCUCGGAGCUCAACUUCGAAACUGCACUUGAUACUACUAUGCUAGAGGGUUGUAGAGGAGACCGGAAUUCACGGUGUAGCAGUGAAAUGCGUAGAUAUCGUGAGGAAGACCAGUUGCGAAAGCGGGUCUCUGGGCAUCUCCUGACGCUGAGGCGCGAAAGCGUGGGGAGCAAACGGG
rnacentral:rRNA from 1 species